rfam:Biomphalaria glabrata isolate BB02 unplaced genomic scaffold LGTN_random_Scaffold2162, whole genome shotgun sequence.
UGGCUGAGCGGUAAAGCACUUGGCUUCUGAACCGAGAGUCCCGGGUUCGAAUCCUGG